ensembl:lncRNA
GCAGAAAUCCCUGUUGGACAGGGCACGGAGUUACAUGGAGCUUUCCCCGUGCAUGGAGGGAGUCUCAAGUGCCAACUCCUGCCUCAGAACUGUGAAGUCUCCACUGCUCCUUCGAGGGCAGUGCAGCGUGGCUUAGAAGGCUGAGCAAACCAGCACAGUCAGCGGCCAGAGGUAUUCCUGCUGUAAAAGUGGGAAUUUGAACCCUGUGAGACAAGGAGGGAAACCUUCAGCCUUGUGAGGCUGCCCUUGUUCAGCCUGGCUGUAUGGAGGAGGUGGAUCAGGCUGGGGAGACUCCAUGCCCAGCACAGGAUGGGUCAAAAUCAGCAACAGUAUAACUCCUCCAGCAUAACACGUGGCAAUGAGUUAAUGCAUUGUGCUUCAACCAAAGCAAUGCAUUUUGUGCCAAGGGUCUGGGCAUCAUUCAAGUUCCUCCCAGCAUGAUGAUUUGCCUUCAGCACAAACAGGGAUAUGAUGCACUGUGCUGUUCAACAUCUUCUAUGUCUUAGUGCCAGUGAUUAACUUUCUAUAAACUCUGACAUGCCUCUACAUUAAUAGGAACAAAUGAAAUCACAGAGCAGUUGAGCCCGUUUAAUUACAGGACCACAUGGUACAAUUUCAAAAUGAAAUAUGUCUGUUGCUCCUUUUUAUUUUUUAUUUUUUAAACAAAUAGAUAAAUACACUCAUGUCAGUGCAAUGCCUUCAUGGUCUGCCAGUAAACAAAGCAGCACUGGUAGGCAGGCUUACAGAAGAUCUACGAAUGUAAUUUUUGAGCUAUUUCCUUGUGUUAAAUUGGAUGCUCUUUGGACUACCAUUUCCCCCAGAUAAAACACAGGAGACUUCCACCCUAUAGAAGACGUUGUUAAUAUUUUUGAAUCAAUGCAUUGUAAUCACGCUCUGUACCUUUAACACAAUAUCUAGCAGCACCUGCCAUUCUUCACUGCCAAGAGAUAAAGAAUGGUGUUCUGUGCUGUACGAACUGACAGCAAAAAAGGAGAUGAACAGCUGAUGUGAAAAGUCUUCAUUCUGUCAGACUUAAAAAUGCCUCUGCUUUGUAUCCUGUCUGCGUCUGCACUCAAAUGCUGAACAUACUUUUGGGAGCUGUAUAAAUAAAUAAUGUUCUUAUUUG